UGAAAUUUUUCUUCAGGGUCGCAGGCGCUCGCUAAGCGAAGGCAUAGCGAAGGGUUGCGAACACAAAUUUUGCAGAAAACAUGGUAAAUCGACUAGAUCUGAAUUUUUAAGCAUUCUAAUCAUUGUACUCAUUAUAAACCUUAUAAAAGGAACCAAACUCAUGCAAAUCUUAACAUUUAAAGUGUAUUCAAACCUAUUCCUAAGAAACUUGUGCAAAACUACCAUAAAUAAUCACUUUUCAAUUUG
rnacentral:lncRNA from 1 species